ACGGAAGGCAGCAGUGGGGGAUAUUGCACAAUGGAGGAAACUCUGAUGCAGCAAUGCCGCGUGAGGGAAGAAGGUCUUCGGAUUGUAAACCUAAGUUAUCAGGGACGAAGUCAAUGACGGUACCUGAAGAGAAAGCUCCGGCUAACUACGUGCCAGCAGACGCGGUAAUACGUAGGGUGCGAGCGUUGUCCGGAUUUACUGGGUGUAAAGGGUGCGUAGGCGGGCUUGCAAGUCAGGCGUGAAAUCCCGCGGCUUAACUGCGGGGCUGCGCGUGAAACUGUAAGUCUUGAGUGAAGUAGAGGCAAGCAGAAUUCCUAGUGUAGCGGUGAAAUGCGUAGAUAUUAGGAGGAACACCAGUGGCGAAGGCGGCUUGCUGGGCUUUAACUGACGCUGAGGCACGAAAGUAUGGUGAGCAAACAGGAUUAGAUACCUGGUA
rnacentral:rRNA from 1 species